rnacentral:rRNA from 1 species
UAUCAAUAAGCGGAGGAAAAGAAACCAACAGGGAUUGCCUCAGUAACUGCGAGUGAAGCGGCAAAAGCUCAAAUUUGAAAUCUGGCACCUUUGGGUGUCCGAGUUGUAAUUUGGAGAGGCAACUUCGAAGGAGGCGCUGGCCUAAGUUCCUUGGAACAGGACGUCACAGAGGGUGAGAAUCCCGUGCUUGGCUGGCUGUCCUUCUUCAUGUGAAGUGUCUUCGACGAGUCGAGUUGUUUGGGAAUGCAGCUCAAAAUGGGUGGUAAACUCCAUCUAAGGCUAAAUAUUGGCGAGAGACCGAUAGCGCACAAGUAGAGUGAUCGAAAGAUGAAAAGCACUUUGAAAAGAGAGUUAAAAAGUACGUGAAAUUGUUGAAAGGGAAGCGCUUGAGACCAGACUCGGUGAUUGGUGAUCAGCGGUUGCUUUUGCUCCGUGCACUUGCCUUUUACUGGGCCAGCAUCAGUUGGGACGGCGGGAUAAAGAUCUGGGGAAUGUGGCUCUCUUCGGGGAGUGUUAUAGCCCCAGGUGUAAUGCCGCCUGUUGCGACUGAGGACCGCGCUUCGGCUAGGAUGCUGGCAUAAUGGUCUUCAGCGACCCGUCUUGAAACACGGACCAAGGAGUCUAACAUCUAUGCGAGUGUUCGGGUGUAAAACCCCUACGCGGAAUGAAAGUGAACGGAGGUGGGAACUCCUUGGAGUGCACCAUCGACCGAUCCUGAUGUCUUCGGAUGGAUUUGAGUAGGAGCAUAGCUGUUGGGACCCGAAAGAUGGUGAACUAUGCCUGAAUAGGGUGAAGCCAGAGGAAACUCUGGUGGAGGCUCGCAGCGGUUCUGACGUGCAAAUCGAUCGUCAAAUUUGGGUAUAGGGGCGAAAGACUAAUCGAACCAUCUAGUAGCUGGUUCCUGCCGAA